CUGGCGGCAUGCCUAAUACAUGCAAGUCGAACGAGAUCUUCGGAUCUAGUGGCGCACGGGUGCGUAACGCGUGGGAAUCUGCCCUUGGGUUCGGAAUAACUUCUGGAAACGGAAGCUAAUACCGGAUGAUGACGUAAGUCCAAAGAUUUAUCGCCCAAGGAUGAGCCCGCGUAGGAUUAGCUAGUUGGUGGGGUAAAGGCCCACCAAGGCGACGAUCCUUAGCUGGUCUGAGAGGAUGAUCAGCCACACUGGGACUGAGACACGGCCCAGACUCCUACGGGAGGCAGCAGUAGGGAAUAUUGGACAAUGGGGGAAACCCUGAUCCAGCAAUGCCGCGUGAGUGAUGAAGGCCUUAGGGUUGUAAAGCUCUUUUACCCGGGAUGAUAAUGACAGUACCGGGAGAAUAAGCUCCGGCUAACUCCGUGCCAGCAGCCGCGGUAAUACGGAGGGAGCUAGCGUUGUUCGGAAUUACUGGGCGUAA
rnacentral:rRNA from 1 species